AGUGAACGCUGGCGGUAGGCCUAACACAUGCAAGUCGAACGGCAGCACAGUAAGAGCUUGCUCUUACGGGUGGCGAGUGGCGGACGGGUGAGGAAUACAUCGGAAUCUACUUUUUCGUGGGGGAUAACGUAGGGAAACUUACCCUAAUACCGCAUACGACCUACGGGUGAAACCAGGGGAUCUUCGGACCUUGCGCGAUUGAAUGAGCCGAUGUCGGAUUAGCUAGUUGGCGGGGUAAAGGCCCACCAAGGCGACGAUCCGUAGCUGGUCUGAGAGGGUGGUCAGCCAGACGGGAAGAGAGACACAGUCCACACUCACACGGGAAGCAACAGUGGGGAAUAUUGGACAAGGGGGGCAAGCCAGAUCCAGCAAUAUCGCGGAAAGGAAGAAGGCCUCCGGGUGGUAAAGCCCUGAUGGUGGGAAAGAAAAGCAGCAGUUUAAUACCGCGCGAUAAUGACGGUACCCAAAGAAUAAGCACCGGCUAACUUCGUG
rnacentral:rRNA from 1 species